rnacentral:rRNA from 1 species
GCACAACGCGAAGAACCUUACCAAGGCUUGACAUGCAUCUCUAAGCGCGUGAAAGCGCGUGACCCUUCGGGGGAUUUGCACAGGUGCUGCAUGGCCGUCGUCAGCUCGUGUCGUGAGAUGUUGGGUUAAGUCCCGCAACGAGCGCAACCCUUGUGACUAGUUNNCCAGCACGUUAUGGUGGGAACUCUAGUCAGACUGCCCAGAUCAACUGGGAGGAAGGUGGGGACGACGUCAGGUCAGUAUGGCCCUUACGCCUUGGGCUGCACACGUACUACAAUGCCCAGCACAAUGAGAACUGAGACCGCGAGGUGGAGGAAAUCUAAAAAACUGGGCCCAGUUCGGAUUGGAGGCUGCAACUCGCCUCCAUGAAGUUGGAAUCGCUAGUAAUGGCGCAUCAUCUACGGCGCCGUGAAUACGUUCCCGGGUCUUGUACACACCG